rnacentral:rRNA from 1 species
GGGGGAAUAUUGGGCAAUGGGCGCAAGCCUGACCCAGCGACGCCGCGUGAGGGAAGAAGGUUUUCGGAUUGUAAACCUCUGUCUUCAGGGACGAUAAUGACGGUACCUGAGGAGGAAGCCACGGCUAACUACGUGCCAGCAGCCGCGGUAAUACGUAGGUGGCAAGCGUUGUCCGGAAUUACUGGGUGUAAAGGGAGCGUAGGCGGGAUUGCAAGUUGAAUGUUAAAACUAUCGGCUCAACUGGUAGCUGCGUUCAAAACUGCAAUUCUUGAGUGAAGUAGAGGCAGGCGGAAUUCCUAGUGUAGCGGUGAAAUGCGUAGAUAUUAGGAGGAACACCAGUGGCGAAGGCGGCCUGCUGGGCUUUUACUGACGCUGAGGCUCGAAAGUGUGGGGAGCAAACAGGAUUAGAUACCCUGGUA